rnacentral:rRNA from 1 species
CUAAUACCGGAUAGUUCCUUGAACCGCAUGGUUCAAGGAUGAAAGACGGUUUCGGCUGUCACUUACAGAUGGACCCGCGGCGCAUUAGCUAGUUGGUGAGGUAACGGCUCACCAAGGCGACGAUGCGUAGCCGACCUGAGAGGGUGAUCGGCCACACUGGGACUGAGACACGGCCCAGACUCCUACGGGAGGCAGCAGUAGGGAAUCUUCCGCAAUGGACGAAAGUCUGACGGAGCAACGCCGCGUGAGUGAUGAAGGUUUUCGGAUCGUAAAGCUCUGUUGUUAGGGAAGAACAAGUGCAAGAGUAACUGCUUGCACCUUGACGGUACCUAACCAGAAAGCCACGGCUAACUACGUGCCAGCAGCCGCGGUAAUACGUAGGUGGCAAGCGUUGUCCGGAAUUAUUGGGCGUAAAGGGCUCGCAGGCGGUUUCUUAAGUCUGAUGUGAAAGCCCCCGGCUCAACCGGGGAGGGUCAUUGGAAACUGGGAAACUUGAGUGCAGAAGAGGAGAGUGGAAUUCCACGUGUAGCGGUGAAAUGCGUAGAGAUGUGGAGGAACACCAGUGGCGAAGGCGACUCUCUGGUCUGUAACUGACGCUGAGGAGCGAAAGCGUGGGGAGCGAACAGGAUUAGAUACCCUGGUAGUCCACGCCGUAAACGAUGAGUGCUAAGUGUUAGGGGGUUUCCGCCCCUUAGUGCUGCAGCUAACGCAUUAAGCACUCCGCCUGGGGAGUACGGUCGCAAGACUGAAACUCAAAGGAAUUGACGGGGGCCCGCACAAGCGGUGGAGCAUGUGGUUUAAUUCGAAGCAACGCGAAGAACCUUACCAGGUCUUGACAUCCUCUGACAACCCUAGAGAUAGGGCUUUCCCUUCGGGGACAGAGUGACAGGUGGUGCAUGGUUGUCGUCAGCUCGUGUCGUGAGAUGUUGGGUUAAGGUCCCGCAACGAGCGCAAACCUUGAUCUUAGUUGCCAGCAUUCAGUUGGGCACUCUAAGGUGACUGCCGGUGACAAACCGGGGAAGGUGGGGAUGACGUCAAAUCAUCAUGCCCCUUAUGACCUGGGCUACACACGUGCUACAAUGGACAGAACAAAGGGCUGCGAGACCGCAAGGUUUAGCCAAUCCCACAAAUCUGUUCUCAGUUCGGAUCGCAGUCUGCAACUCGACUGCGUGAAGCUGGAAUCGCUAGUAAUC